rnacentral:RNase_P_RNA from 1 species
GCAGACGGGGCUGCCGCGUGUCAUAGCGCCGCAAGGUAUUGGCAUGAGGAAAGUCCGGGCAUCGAAGGGCAGGAUAACGGAUAACGUCCGCCGAGGGAAACCUCCGGGAAAGUGCAACAGAAAUAGACUACCAAAGCGGUUUCGCUCCGGCGGGCCGCACGGUACAGAUGGAAAGGCGAGGUAAAAGCUCACCGGCACGACAGGCAACUGUGUGCAAAUGUAAACCCUAUCCGAUGCAACGCCUCCACGCGGGGAUCCCAUCCCGGGGUCAUGCCGGCCCGGCAGAACUGCGGAGGCGGCUGAGAGGCGGCUGGCGACAACCGUCACAGAUAGAUGGCAGCUGCGGGGCUCGCUCCGUACAGAACCCGGCUUACAAGUCCGCCG